AAGCCAUGAUGAGGACAUUGAGAGAUAUAGCUAUUGAACCUUUCCCAUGCUUCUCCAAAGCCUUCAAGAUUCCUUUGAUGAAAUCCAGAGAUUUCAUUCCUUAGUUU
rfam:Brassica napus, WGS project CCCW01000000 data, contig: 8451